rnacentral:lncRNA from 1 species
CGGGAGUGGACUGAACAGAGUUUAAAGUUUUUAUCACUGCUGUUUUCCACUUCUGCAGGUAGAGAGGUAAUUGUACAAAAGACUUGGGAAUCCAGGAUAAGAUUCACUCUGUGGAGCACGGACAGAAAGUAUGAAUGAGCUUAAAGGGCUCAAAUAGCUGGGGAAGAAAAGAAAAAAGGUGAAUCAACUAAGAAGGCAGAGGACAAUGAAAAGUGAUGUAAAAGGGAAAAUGUAAAUGUGCCUUUACAGUCAGGACCUUGCAGGGAAUAGCAGAGGGAACUCAUAAAGGCAAGGAAGAUGAAAGGAAAAGGAAAGCAGCUGCCAAGCCUUCCCCCCUGUGAAUGCCAUGUCUCGGUUAGGUCUUUUCCUGAGGCACUUGAAUUCAAGUCCUACUUGACUGAUUUCCCUUCUCCUCAGAGAAAGGCCACUCAGCUGCUAAUGAAGGAGCAAGCCUCAAGAUUUUGCUUUAGUAACUCCUUGGCAAGUCAGCUCCAACUAAAAACAUUAUACAGUGAGUGUUCAGCACAUCUGCCAUCUUGACUGCAAAGAGUGAGUGUUUACACUUCAGGUUUCAUUUUGGAAAAUAUUCCACUGUCACAAUAAAGCUAUUGCUUGGAGCUGGGGAAAGAAAAAUAAGGGACAAAUCAAACACACCACCCUAAAAAAACCCCACAUAUUGAUAUAUAAUCAUUAUUUUGUAAUUCACUUAGUUUAUCUGUGACGAACUGGGAAUUAUCUAAAAAAGCAGAGACAUGCAAAGCGAUGCAGCAGAACAGGCAAAGUCCAAACUGCUGGCAGAGAAUGUAGGUGUGCACUUCCAUUCUCAACACCUCUACACUUCUGAUGAGUUUACAGCCCAUGCUACCACAAAGCACUCAUCAGCAAAACACAACUGGACAGCAACAGUUGAGUUAAAGAUUCCUCUGCAUAGCCAUAUGUGAGCCAAAUGUUAUGCAGUAUCUAGAAAACCCAGAAUAAAUUGUAAACGUUUUGUAGAUUACUAAUCUCUUAGUUGAAGACAGAAAGCCUUU